UUCAGUGAUAACAAGAGUUUGUAAGUUGCUAAAUUAGUAUGAACAAAUUUAUAAGAUAGGAACCGAUUCUUCUUAGAAUAUAUAUAAUAAAGUCUCAUGAAAUCUUUCAUUUAUGUAAUGUCAUUGAAUUUCAUAUACAUUUGACAUUUUUCUUGGUUAUGUUUUUCUUUUGUUUUUUUAUUUGCUGGAAGUUGUUGAAUUGGUUAAGGCUGAUGUUGACUACAUAUGCAUCCUUCUUAGGUUGAAUUUUAAGGUCAAUGUCGUUGGAAUGGGGAGAAAGCGGUCAUAGAAAACUAUAAUGGAUCUGCUUAAGUCGAGAAGGCCUCUGAGUGCUUUCUUUUUUUUCAUGUCUGAGUUUAGAGUGAAGUACUCGCAUUCAAAUAGAAUCAAUGGCAUAUCUGCGGUUAGGAAAGCUGGUACUAAGGAGUGGAAAGAGAUGUUCUAUGCUAGAAGGUUCCUUACUUUGCUAAGGUGGGAAAGAUGAAAGAAGAGUAUGAGAAGAUUAAACAUGCCUAUAAUUCUAAUGCAGAAAAAAGAAGAAAGAUGACUAUGGGAAAAUUAUACGAGCCUACAAUGUUAGAUUGAACUCGGAAGUUGAAUGUCAUAAUAGUAAACAAUGUUGAAAUUGGUGGAAAUACAUGCAUUGACAUGGGAAGGUUAGUUAUUUUAGGACUUAUUCUUUUCUAUUUAGUUUCGUGAUGUGUCAAAAAUGGUGUUAUAGUUUGAUUUUCACUUGAAAUAAUGUUAGCUCUAAUAUUUAUUUUAUUCACUCUUUAGCUAUGCA